rnacentral:rRNA from 1 species
AGAGUUUGAUCCUGGCUCAGGAUGAACGCUAGCGGGAGGCCUAACACAUGCAAGUCGAACGGGAUUGGUAGCAAUACCAUGAGAGUGGCGCACGGGUGAGUAACGCGUAUGCAACCUACCUUUAACUGGGGGAUAGCCCGGAGAAAUCCGGAUUAAUACCGCAUAAGAUUACAUAUCUGCAUGGAUUAGUAAUUAAAACUCAGGUGGUUAAAGAUGGGCAUGCGUGACAUUAGCUAGUUGGUAAGGUAACGGCUUACCAAGGCUACGAUGUCUAGGGGUUCUGAGAGGAUGAUCCCCCACACUGGUACUGAGACACGGACCAGACUCCUACGGGAGGCAGCAGUGAGGAAUAUUGGUCAAUGGGCGCAAGCCUGAACCAGCCAUCCCGCGUGAAGGAUGAAUGUCUUAUGGAUUGUAAACUUCUUUUCUGUGCAAAGAAUAUGCCUUACGAGUAGGGUAUUGACGGUAGUACAGGAAUAAGCACCGGCUAACUCCGUGCCAGCAGCCGCGGUAAUACGGAGGGUGCAAGCGUUAUCCGGAUUUAUUGGGUUUAAAGGGUGCGUAGGUGGAAUGAUAAGUCAGUGGUGAAAUCCUGCAGCUUAACUGUAGAACUGCCAUUGAUACUGUUGUUCUUGAGUGCAGAUGAGAUAGGCGGAAUGAGUAGUGUAGCGGUGAAAUGCUUAGAUAUUACUCAGAACACCGAUUGCGAAGGCAGCUUACUAAACUGUAACUGACACUGAUGCACGUAAGCGUGGGGAUCGAACAGGAUUAGAUACCCUGGUAGUCCACGCCGUAAACGAUGCUCACUCGCUGUUUGCGAUACACAGCAAGCGGCUUAGCGAAAGUGAUAAGUGAGCCACCUGGGGAGUACGAUCGCAAGGUUGAAACUCAAAGGAAUUGACGGGGGCCCGCACAAGCGGAGGAACAUGUGGUUUAAUUCGAUGAUACGCGAGGAACCUUACCUGGGCUUAAAUGUAGAGUGCAUGUCGUGGAAACACGCUUCCCUUCGGGGCUCUUUACAAGGUGCUGCAUGGUUGUCGUCAGCUCGUGCCGUGAGGUGUCGGGUUAGGUCCCAUAACGAGCGCAACCCUUACCGUUAGUUGCCAUCGGGUCAAGCCGGGGACUCUAACGGGACUGCCAUCGUAAGGUGAGAGGAAGGUGGGGAUGACGUCAAAUCAGCACGGCCCUUAUGUCCAGGGCUACACACGUGUUACAAUGGCCGGUACAAAGGGCAGCUACCUGGUGACAGGAUGCUAAUCUCUAAAGCCGGUCUCAGUUCGGAUCGAAGUCUGCAACCCGACUUCGUGAAGCUGGAUUCGCUAGUAAUCGCGCAUCAGCCAUGGCGCGGUGAAUACGUUCCCGGGCCUUGUACACACCGCCCGUCAAACCAUGGAAGUUGGGGGGACCUGAAGUAUGCAACCGCAAGGAGCAUCCUAGGGUAAAACCAAUGGCUGGGGUUAAGUCGAAACAAGGUA